rnacentral:piRNA from 1 species
UAGGUCCAGAUCAGAGUUCGUGAUGCAUA